GUAACUAUGUUAAAGAAAGCUAUCUGCACCUAAUAUCUUAUUUGUUGAUGUCUAUGAAUUAGUCUUAAAUAGGAGCACACUAUACAAAGACAACAGUAGCCAGUUGCUGGAUCUGACUCCACCCGUUUCUCCUCCAUGGGCAUCACCUGCAUAAUCCAAGUGAUAAAAGAGAGAACAAACUAUUGUUUCAUGUUCUCUGCUAUCCAUACAGUAUAG